CGCUGGGGGGGUGCUUACACAUGCAGUCGACGGUGAAGCAGAGCUUGCUCUGUGGAUCAGUGGCGAACGGGUGAGUAACACGUGAGCAAUCUGCCCCUGACUCUGGGAUAAGCGCUGGAAACGGCGUCUAAUACCGGAUACGAGCUGCGACCGCAUGGUCAGUAGCUGGAAAGAAUUUCGGUCAGGGAUGAGCUCGCGGCCUAUCAGCUUGUUGGUGAGGUAAUGGCUCACCAAGGCGUCGACGGGUAGCCGGCCUGAGAGGGUGACCGGCCACACUGGGACUGAGACACGGCCCAGACUCCUACGGGAGGCAGCAGUGGGGAAUAUUGCACAAUGGGCGCAAGCCUGAUGCAGCAACGCCGCGUGAGGGAUGACGGCCUUCGGGUUGUAAACCUCUUUUAGCAGGGAAGAAGCGAAAGUGACGGUACCUGCAGAAAAAGCGCCGGCUAACUACGUGCCAGCAGCCGCGGUAAUACGUAGGGCGCAAGCGUUAUCCGGAAUUAUUGGGCGUAAAGAGCUCGUAGGCGGUCUGUCGCGUCUGCUGUGAAAACCCGAGGCUCAACCUCGGGCCUGCAGUGGGUACGGGCAGACUAGAGUGCGGUAGGGGAGAUUGGAAUUCCUGGUGUAGCGGUGGAAUGCGCAGAUAUCAGGAGGAACACCGAUGGCGAAGGCAGAUCUCUGGGCCGUAACUGACGCUGAGGAGCGAAAGGGUGGGGAGCAAACAGGCUUAGAUACCCUGGUAGUCCACCCCGUAAACGUUGGGAACUAGUUGUGGGGUCCAUUCCACGGAUUCCGUGACGCAGCUAACGCAUUAAGUUCCCCGCCUGGGGAGUACGGCCGCAAGGCUAAAACUCAAAGGAAUUGACGGGGACCCGCACAAGCGGCGGAGCAUGCGGAUUAAUUCGAUGCAACGCGAAGAACCUUACCAAGGCUUGACAUAUAGAGGAAACGUCUGGAAACAGUCGCCCCGCAAGGUCUCUAUACAGGUGGUGCAUGGUUGUCGUCAGCUCGUGUCGUGAGAUGUUGGGUUAAGUCCCGCAACGAGCGCAACCCUCGUUCUAUGUUGCCAGCACGUAAUGGUGGGAACUCAUGGGAUACUGCCGGGGUCAACUCGGAGGAAGGUGGGGAUGACGUCAAAUCAUCAUGCCCCUUAUGUCUUGGGCUUCACGCAUGCUACAAUGGCCGGUACAAAGGGCUGCAAUACCGUGAGGUGGAGCGAAUCCCAAAAAGCCGGUCCCAGUUCGGAUUGAGGUCUGCAACUCGACCUCAUGAAGUCGGAGUCGCUAGUAAUCGCAGAUCAGCAACGCUGCGGUGAAUACGUUCCCGGGUCUUGUACACACCGCCCGUCAAGUCAUGAAAGUCGGUAACACCUGAAGCCGGUGGCCCAACCCUUGUGGAGGGAGCCGUCGAAGUGAUCGUU
rnacentral:rRNA from 2 species